GCUCCGUAGGUGAACCUGCGGAGGGAUCAUUACAGAGUUCGUGCCCUCACGGGUAGAUCUCCCACCCUGUGUUAUUAUACCUUUGUUGCUUUGGCGGGCCGCCCUCGGCUACCGGCCCCGGCUGGUACGCGCCCGCCAGAGGACCCCAAACUCUGAAUGUUAGUGUCGUCUGAGUACUAUACAAUAGUUAAAACUUUCAACAACGGAUCUCUUGGUUCUGGCAUGAUGAAGAACGCAGC
rnacentral:misc_RNA from 1 species